GACAGAGGGUGCAAACGUUGCUCGGAAUCACUGGGCGUAAAGGGCGUGUAGGCGGGAAGGAAAGUCAGAUGUGAAAUCCCUGGGCUCAACCCAGGAACUGCAUUUGAAACUCCCUUUCUUGAGUGUCGGAGAGGAAAGUGGAAUUCCUGGUGUAGAGGUGAAAAUUCGUAGAUAUCAGGAGGAACACCGGUGGCGAAGGCGGCUUUCUGGACGACAACUGACGCUGGAGACGCGAAAAGCGUGGGGAGCAAACAGG
rnacentral:rRNA from 1 species